rnacentral:rRNA from 1 species
AGCUUGAGUGUAAAUGAGGUAGGCGGAAUGUGUUGUGUAGCGGUGAAAUGCUUAGAUAUAACACAGAACACCAAUUGCGAAGGCAGCUUACUAGAAUACAACUGACGCUGAGGCACGAAAGCGUGGGGAUCAAACAGGAUUAGAUACCCUGGUAGUCCACGCAGUAAACGAUGAAUACUAGCUGUAUGCGAUAUACUGUAUGUGGCAAAGCGAAAGCGUUAAGUAUUCCACCUGGGGAGUACGUUCGCAAGAAUG